rnacentral:rRNA from 1 species
UUGCCGGCUCAAGGACAAGCUGUGACGGGUAUGAACGAUUUAUCGUUCUAAGUGAGUGACGUCACACUGCCAAGAAAAGCUUCUAGUUAGAAUCAGACCGCCCGUACCGCAAACCGACACAGGUAGUCGGGUCGAGAAGACCAAGGUGAGCGAGAGAACUCUCGUUAAGGAACUCGGCAAAAUGACCCCGUAACUUCGGGAGAAGGGGUGCUGAUCGCAAGAUCAGCCGCAGUGAAUAGGCCCAGGCGACUGUUUAUCAAAAACACAGGUUUCUGCAAAAUCGUAAGAUGAAGUAUAGGGGCUGACGCCUGCCCGGUGCUGGAAGGUUAAGAGGAUGGGUUAGCGUAAGCGAAGCUCAGAAUUGAAGCCCCAGUAAACGGCGGCCGUAACGAUAACGGUCCUAAGGUAGCGAAAUUCCUUGUCGGGUAAGUUCCGACCCGCACGAAAGGCGUAACGAUCUGGGCACUGUCUCAACGAGAGACUCGGUGAAAUUAUAAUACCCGUGAAGAUGCGGGUUACCCGCGACAGGACGGAAAGACCCCAUGGAGCUUUACUGUAGCUUGAUAUUGGGUGUUUGUACAACUUGUACAGGAUAGGUAGGAGCCGUAGAAGUCGGGACGCUAGUUUCGACGGAGGCAUCGGUGGGAUACUACCCUCGCUGUAUGAACACUCUAACCCACGCCGGCAAUCACGGCGGGAGACAGUGUCAGGUGGGCAGUUUGACUGGGGCGGUCGCCUCCUAAAAGGUAACGGAGGCGCCCAAAGGUUCCCUCAGAAUGGUUGGAAAUCAUUCGCAGAGUGUAAAGGCAUAAGGGAGCUUGACUGCGAGACCUACAAGUCGAGCAGGGACGAAAGUCGGGCUUAGUGAUCCGGUGGUUCCGCAUGGAAGGGCCAUCGCUCAACGGAUAGAGCUACCCUGGGGAUAACAGGCUUAUCUCCCCCAAGAGUCCACAUCGACGGGGAGGUUUGGCACCUCGAUGCCGGCUCAUCGCAUCCUGGGGCUGUAGUCGGUCCCAAGGGUUGGGCUGUUCGCCCAUUAAAGCGGUACGCGAGCUGGGUUCAGAACGUCGUGAGACAGUUCGGUCCCUAUCCGUCGCGGGCGCAGGAAAUUUGAGAGGAUCUGUCCUUAGUACGAGAGGACCGGGAUGGACAUACCGCUGGUGUACCAGUUGUUCUGCCAAGGGCAUCGCUGGGUAGCUAUGUAUGGAUGAGAUAAACGCUGAAAGCAUCUAAGUGCGAAACUCACCUCGAGAUAAGAUUUCCCACUCCUUUAUGGAGUUAAGACCCCUGAGAGAUGAUCAGGUAGAUAGGAUGGAAGUGGAAGUGCGGCGACGCAUGGAGCGGACCAUUACUAAUCGGUCGAGGACUUAACCU